AUUCAUGGCGACGGUGUGUGGGGAGCCGCAAGGCUCGCCGGUCCUUGAGCCGGUCUGCCAACCCGCACACCGUUCGCCACCCUC
rnacentral:antisense_RNA from 1 species